rnacentral:rRNA from 1 species
CGCGUAGGCGGGUUGAUAAGUUAGAGGUGAAAUCCUGCGGCUUAACCGCAGAACUGCCCCUAAUACUGUCAAUCUUGAGUUCAGAAGAGAGAAGCGGAAUUCCAGGUGUAGUGGUGAAAUACGUAGAUAUCUGGAAGAACACCAGUUGCGAAGGCGGCUUCUUGGCCUGACACUGACGCUGAGGCGCGAAAGCGUGGGGAGCAAACA